rnacentral:rRNA from 1 species
AACGAACGCUGGCGGCAGGCUUAACACAUGCAAGUCGAGCGCUCAGCAAUGAGAGCGGCGCACGGGUGAGUAACACGUGGGAACGUGCCCUUUGGUUCGGAAUAACUCAGGGAAACUUGAGCUAAUACCGGAUAAGCCCUUACGGGGAAAGAUUUAUCGCCAUUGGAGCGGCCCGCGUCCGAUUAGCUAGUUGGUGAGGUAAAGGCUCACCAAGGCAACGAUCGGUAGCUGGUCUGAGAGGACGACCAGCCACACUGGGACUGAGACACG